rnacentral:rRNA from 1 species
CUGUAGGCUGCAACUCGCCUACACGAAGUCGGAAUCGCUAGUAAUCGCGGAUCAGCAUGCCGCGGUGAAUACGUUCCCGGGCCUUGUACGCACCGCCCGUCACACCAUGGGAGUUUGUAACGCCCAAAGUCGGUGGCCUAACCUUUAUGGAGGGAGCCGCCUAAGGCGGGACAGAUGACUGGGGUGAAGUCGUAACAAGGUACC